GCAGUAGUAGCUCAGUUGGUUAGAGCACUAGUUUGUGGAACUAGGGGUCGGUGGUUCGAGUCCACCCUACUGUACCA
rnacentral:tRNA from 2 species